AUUGAACGCUGGCGGCAGGCCUAACACAUGCAAGUCGAGCGGAUGAAGGGAGCUUGCUCCUGGAUUCAGCGGCGGACGGGUGAGUAAUGCCUAGGAAUCUGCCUGGUAGUGGGGGAUAACGUCCGGAAACGGGCGCUAAUACCGCAUACGUCCUGAGGGAGAAAGUGGGGGAUCUUCGGACCUCACGCUAUCAGAUGAGCCUAGGUCGGAUUAGCUAGUUGGUGGGGUAAAGGCCUACCAAGGAGACGAUCCGUAACUGGUCUGAGAGGAUGAUCAGUCACACUGGAACUGGAACACGGUCCAGACUCCUACGAGAGGCAGCAGUGGGGAAUAUUGGACAAUGGGCGAAAGCCUGAUCCAGCCAUGCCGCGUGUGUUAAGAAGGUCUUCGGAUUGUAAAGCACUUUAAGUUGGGAGGAAGGGCAGUAAGUUAAUACCUUGCUGUUUUGACGUUACCAACAGAAUAAGCACCGGCUAACUUCGUG
rnacentral:rRNA from 1 species